UACGAAGGGGACUAGCGUUGUUCGGAAUUACUGGGCGUAAAGCGCACGUAGGCGGACUGUUAAGUCGGGGGUGAAAUCCUGGGGCUCAACCUCAGAAUUGCCUCCGAUACUGGCAGUCUCGAGUGCGGGAGAGGUGAGUGGAAUUCCCAGUGUAGAGGUGAAAUUCGUAGAUAUUGGGAAGAACACCAGUGGCGAAGGCGGCUCACUGGCCCGUAACUGACGCUGAGGUGCGAAAGCGUGGGGAGCAAACAGG
rnacentral:rRNA from 1 species